AAGUCAACUGCCUUCCAACAAUAGGGCAUUUUCGUAAAUUCAAUUGAUUGGGCCCAUCGAACAGCAGAAAACAUAAUCACGAACAUGGAAGUGAAAAAAAAAAAAAAAAAAAAAAAUUUCCAACACAGCAUCACCGUGGGAUCGGAUCAUACAAGACUAACCCCACAAGAAAAUCACGUGGCAUCCAAGUCAACUGUGAUUUACCGUCAGCAUCACGCGCCUCGGCGACAGAUGCCAAUUUCUGGAGGUUCAACUUCACAACUGUAUCGGCAAAGAGCCGUGUGUCCUCUUCGGUAUUGCCUUCCGGGACAUCGACGACGUACGAUUCUAAAANCCCGCCGUCGCGUUCGAAUCCAUGCACAGUGGUCACCGACCGGUAAUUCCUAAGCCUGUGC
rnacentral:misc_RNA from 1 species